rnacentral:rRNA from 1 species
GUGGGGAAUAUUGGACAAUGGGCGAAAGCCUGAUCCAGCCAUGCCGCGUGUGUGAAGAAGGUCUUCGGAUUGUAAAGCACUUUAAGUUGGGAGGAAGGGCAGUAAGUUAAUACCUUGCUGUUUUGACGUUACCGACAGAAUAAGCACCGGCUAACUUCGUGCCAGCAGCCGCGGUAAUACGAAGGGUGCAAGCGUUAAUCGGAAUUACUGGGCGUAAAGCGCGCGUAGGUGGUUUUGUAAGUUGGAGGUGAAAUCCCCGGGCUCAACCAGGGAACUACCUCCAAAACUGCAUGACUAGAGUACGGUAGAGGGUAGUGGAAUUUCCUGUGUAGCGGUGAAAUGCGUAGAUAUAGGAAGGAACACCAGUGGCGAAGGCGACUACCUGGACUGAUACUGACACUGAGGUGCGAAAGCGUGGGGAGCAAACAGGAUUAGAAACCCCAGUAGUCC